rnacentral:rRNA from 1 species
UAGGGAAUCUUCCGCAAUGGACGCAAGUCUGACGGAGCAACGCCGCGUGAGUGAAGAAGGAUUUCGGUUCGUAAAACUCUGUUGUUAGAGAAGAACAGCGCAUAGAGUAACUGUUAUGCGUGUGACGGUAUCUAACCAGAAAGCCACGGCUAACUACGUGCCAGCAGCCGCGGUAAUACGUAGGUGGCAAGCGUUGUCCGGAAUUAUUGGGCGUAAAGCGCGCGCAGGCGGACUAGCCAGUCAGUCUUAAAAGUUCGGGGCUUAACCCCGUGAUGGGAUUGAAACUACUAGUCUAGAGUAUCGGAGAGGAAAGUGGAAUUCCUAGUGUAGCGGUGAAAUGCGUAGAUAUUAGGAAGAACACCAGUGGCGAAGGCGACUUUCUGGACGAACACUGACGCUGAGGCGCGAAAGCCAGGGGAGCGAACGGG